GACGAACGCUGGCGGCGUGGAUUAGGCAUGCAAGUCGGACGGUAGGGCUUUAUCGUAAGAUAGAGUUUGAGAGUGGCGAACGGGUGAGUAACACGUAGGAAUCUACCCUUAAGACGGGGACAACCCAGGGAAACUUGGGCUAAUACCGGAUGAGAGUGCGAGAGAUUGCAUUUAAAAGGAUGGCGAAAGUUGUCGCUUAGGGAUGAGCCUGCGGUCUAUUAGUUAGUUGGUGAGGUAACGGCCCACCAAGGCGACGAUCGGUAGCCGACCUGAGAGGGUGACCGGCCACACUGGGACUGAGACAUGGUCCAGACUCCUACGGGAGUUAGCAUCAGGGAAUCUUGCGCAAUGGGCGAAAGCCUGACGCAGCGACGCCGCGUGGGUGAUGAAGGUCUGCGGACCGUAAAGCCCUGUCAGGAGGGAAGAAGUACUGACAGUACCUCCAGAGGAAGCCCCGGCUAACUACGUG
rnacentral:rRNA from 1 species